rnacentral:rRNA from 1 species
GACGAACGCUGGCGGCGUGCCUAAUACAUGCAAGUCGAACGAGAGCGACCGGUGCUUGCACUGGUCAAUCUAGUGGCGGACGGGUGAGUAACACGUGGGUAACCUGCCCAUCAGAGGGGGAUAACAUCCGGAAACGGAUGCUAAAACCGCAUAGGUCUUCGAGCCGCAUGGCUUGAAGAGGAAAAGAGGCGCAAGCUUCUGCUGAUGGAUGGACCCGCGGUGCAUUAGCUAGUUGGUGAGGUAACGGCUCACCAAGGCCGUGAUGCAUAGCCGACCUGAGAGGGUGAUCGGCCACAUUGGGACUGAGACACGGCCCAAACUCCUACGGGAGGCAGCAGUAGGGAAUCUUCCGCAAUGGACGCAAGUCUGACGGAGCAACGCCGCGUGAGUGAAGAAGGUUUUCGGAUCGUAAAACUCUGUUGUUAGAGAAGAACAAGUGCUAGAGUAACUGUUAGCGCCUUGACGGUAUCUAACCAGAAAGCCACGGCUAACUACGUG